GCUGAUGAAAAUGAAGAUAGCAGUUUUUCUUCUUUUGAUUUGCCUUGCAAAUCUCGUUAUCUUAUCAGACAGUUGUUGUAAAAAAAGUGGUUACUGUGAUGUUGAUGAUGAUUGCUGUGAGGACUACUACUGUUUGUGUAAGCGUAGCAAUAUACAUGAAUUGGUUUGCCGAAAAGAAUAGAAGCUGAAAACAGAAAUAAAAUUGGUGUG